UCACUGGUGGUCUAGUAAUUAAGACUCUGCCUUGCAAGGCAGGGAACUUGGGUUCAAUCCCUGAUCAGGGAA
rnacentral:tRNA from 1 species